GACGAACGCUGGCGGCGUGCUUAACACAUGCAAGUCGAACGGAAAGGCCCUGCGUUUGUGGGGUUCACGAUUGGCGAACGGGUGAGUAACACAUGAGUAACCCCCCCUUGUCUUUGUGAUAUCUCCUGGAAACUGCGGCUAAUACCGGAGAUGAUCUCUUGCUGCGUGGGGUGGGUUGGUAAGAUUCGGUGGUUGUGGAUGGUUUCGCGGCUUAUCGGCUGCUUUGUCGGGUAGUGGCUGACCAAGGCUUUGACGGGUAGCCGGCCUGAGAGGGUGACCGGCCACAUUGGGACUGAGAUACGGAGCAGACUCGUACGGGAGGCAGCAGUGGGGAAUAUUGCGGAAUGGGCGGAAGCCAGAUGCAGCAACGCCGCGUGCGGGAUGCCGGCCUUCGGGUUGUAAACCGCUUUGGAAUGUGCCGAAGAGUGAGUGACGGUAAUGGGUAAGGAAGCACCGGCUAACUACGUG
rnacentral:rRNA from 1 species